rnacentral:rRNA from 1 species
UACGUAGGGUGCAAGCGUUAAUCGGAAUUACUGGGCGUAAAGCGUGUGCAGGCGGUUGUGCAAGACAGAUGUGAAAUCCCCGGGCUCAACCUGGGAAUUGCAUUUGUGACUGUACGGCUAGAGUGUGUCAGAGGGGGGUAGAAUUCCACGUGUAGCAGUGAAAUGCGUAGAGAUGUGGAGGAAUACCGAUGGCGAAGGCAGCCCCCUGGGAUAACACUGACGCUCAUGCACGAAAGCGUGGGGAGCAAACAGG